rnacentral:misc_RNA from 1 species
GAUGAAGAACGUAGCGAAAUGCGAUACGUAAUGUGAAUUGCAGAAUUCAGUGAAUCAUCGAGUCUUUGAACGCACAUUGCGCCCCCUGGUAUUCCGGGGGGCAUGCCUGUCCGAGCGUCAUUGCUGCCCUCAAGCACGGCUUGUGUGUUGGGCCUCCGUCCUCCUCCCGGGAGACGGGCCCGAAAGGCAGCGGCGGCACCGCGUCCGGUCCUCGAGCGUAUGGGGCUUCGUCACCCGCUCUUGUAGGCCCGGCCGGCGCUUGCCGACACAUCAAUCUUUUUUCCAGGUUGACCUCGGAUCAGGUAGGGAUACCCGCUGAACUUAAGCAUAUCAAUAAGCGGAGGA